AGUGAACGCUGGCGGUAGGCCUAACACAUGCAAGUCGAACGGCAGCACAGUAAGAGCUUGCUCUUACGGGUGGCGAGUGGCGGACGGGUGAGGAAUACAUCGGAAUCUACUUUUUCGUGGGGGAUAACGUAGGGAAACUUACGCUAAUACCGCAUACGACCUACGGGUGAAAGCAGGGGAUCUUCGGACCUUGCGCGAUUGAAUGAGCCGAUGUCGGAUUGGCUAGUUGGCGGGGUAAAGGCCCACCAAGGCGACGAUCCGUAGCUGGUCUGAGAGGAUGAUCGGCCACACUGGAACUUGGACACGGUCCAGACUCCUACGGGAGGCAGCAGUGGGGAAUAUUGGACAAUGGGCGCAAGCCUGAUCCAGCCAUACCGCGUGGGUGAAGAAGGCCUUCGGGUUGUAAAGCCCUUUUGUUGGGAAAGAAAAGCAGCAGGUUAAUACCCCGCUGUUCUGACGGUACCCAAAGAAUAAGCACCGGCUAACUUCGUG
rnacentral:rRNA from 1 species